rnacentral:misc_RNA from 1 species
AUGAAUAUCUCGGCUCUCGCAUCGAUGAAGAACAUAGCAAAAUGCGAUACCUGGUGUGAAUUGCAGAAUCCCGCGAACCAUCAAGUCUUUGAACGCAAGUUGUGCCCGAGGCCACUCGGCCGAGGGCACGCCUGCCUGGGCAUCACGCCAAAACACACUCCCAACCACCCUCAUCGGGAAUUGGGAUGCAGCAUCUGGUCCCUCGUCUCGCAAGGGGCGGUGGACCGAAGAUCGGGCUGCUGGCAUACCAUGCCGGACACAGCACAUGGUGGGCGUCCUUGCUUUAUCAAUGCAGUGCAUCCGACACGAGCUGGCAUUAUGGCCUCGGAAUGA